ACGUCGCAUGCUCCCGGCCGCCAUGGCGGCCGCGGGAAUUCGAUUAGAGUUUGAUCAUGGCUCAGAUUGAACGCUGGCGGCAUGCCUUACACAUGCAAGUCGAACGGCAGCACGGGAGCAAUCCUGGUGGCGAGUGGCGAACGGGUGAGUAAUAUAUCGGAACGUGCCCAGUCGUGGGGGAUAACGCAGCGAAAGCUGUGCUAAUACCGCAUACGAUCUACGGAUGAAAGCGGGGGAUCGCAAGACCUCGCGCGAUUGGAGCGGCCGAUAUCAGAUUAGCUAGUUGGUGGGGUAAAGGCCCACCAAGGCGACGAUCUGUAGCUGGUCUGAGAGGACGACCAGCCACACUGGAACUGAGACACGGUCCAGACUCCUACGGGAGGCAGCAGUGGGGAAUUUUGGACAAUGGGCGCAAGCCUGAUCCAGCAAUGCCGCGUGCAGGAUGAAGGCCUUCGGGUUGUAAACUGCUUUUGUACGGAACGAAACGGUGAGCUCUAAUAAAGCUUGCUAAUGACGGUACCGUAAGAAUAAGCACCGGCUAACUACGUGCCAGCAGCCGCGGUAAUACGAAUCACUAGUGAAUUCGCGGCCGCCUGCAGGUCGACCAUAUGGGAGAGCUCCCAACGCGU
rnacentral:rRNA from 1 species